GUUUCAAAUGGGAACAUAUUCCAAACUUGGCAGAGCAGCAGCUCAUCGAUGACCAGAAGACUCUCUUCUUCCCCACUAUUGUUCUCGCUCUCUCCCUCUCCAAAUUCAGUUCAAAUGGCAGAUCAGCUCACCAAUGAUCAGAUUUCCGAAUUCAAGGAAGCCUUCAAUCUUUUCGAUAAAGAUAUAGAUGGACAACAUUUCGAUUGAAUGUGAAGCAACAAAAUGUCAUUCUAACGACAUUCUUUAGAACUCGGCCUAGGUAUGGAAUCAAAUGUGCACAAUGUUGUCCAUUAGGGCUUGCCUUGAUCUGCGGGUUGUGGAAGUUGCUCCUUUUAUAGGAAACAACGAUUGUUUGUACAUUAUUUUCUAUUCAAAGGCUCUUGUACUGGAAAUUGAUGCAUACAAUGGAACAAUUCUCUAGCAAAAGAAUGUUGGUCCAUUAAGUUCUGCAGACUUUGCUCCCAACAGUUGAUUCCAUUGGUUGGAUCUCUUUUGGUUUACUAGAUGGGUUAUUUUACUCAUUUUCUUCUUGGGAUUCUCAAAAGGUUCUCUAAAUAAGACAAAUAAGAUUAUGUAAUCCAGAAUGACAGAAUCAGGUCAGCUUUCAUCCUUAAUCUUUGAGAGUGACUUGCUGCAUUUUCUUGUGCUGCAUUUUCGUAGGUCAGCUUUCAUCCUUAAUCUUUGAGAGUGACUUGCUGCAUUUUCUUGUGCUGCAUUUUCGUGUGGUUUACAGGAUCUUCUAGUCUUCGUUAGUGCCUCAAGUGAGAUACUUACCUAUCUUAGAAGUUAUUUUUAGUGAUUCAACUUAAAGUUCUUGAAAGAUUUUUGAUUUCAUUGCAGAGAUGGUAGUCCACUUCAUUGCCAUAGCAAAAGUAAUGAAUUCUUAAAACUUGAUAUAAAUAUAUUAAUUCAUUUAUUUGGGUUAGUUUUCUAAUAGCUUCUCCAAAUGUUGGUUGGUUACCAAGUCAAAAACUUGAAUCAAGCUAUUCUCUUUCAGAACCCAAACAUGAUGACAUCUACACAGGUAAUCCCAGGCUUGUCAAUAUUUCAUAAGAAAAAACAGAUUAUUUCCAAAAACUAUCUUUUAUGAUUUAAAAAAAUUUGAAUGAAAUGAGCAGGAAACUGUGGUAUUUCUGGUAUUGAAGUCAGUAGUAUUGAUCCUUUUGGCAAUUGGUGUUAGAUUCUG